CAAACUAGUAACCUUUAGCAAGAGCACAAUUUACUUGUUCUUUAUUGCCUAAAUGAAUGCACAUAUCUUUUUUUUUUUCAGUUCAAACACAGAUGAAGUUCAGAUGUUUACUUGGAGCUAGUAAUUUCAAAUUUAACCAUGAAAAGUAGAAAUAUAAUCUUCUACUUCAGAGAGACUGACCUUUUUUUUCCUUUAGUACUUGGAAAAGCACUCAAUAGCAAGCUGUUUCUAAAGUCUGGGUGUUAGUUUUACAGGCUUCAUCCCUCCCUUUAAGGACUGCUUGACUGCUCAAACAUUUAUGAAGUUCAGUGAAUAGCUGAUGAAAAUUGAGCAUGCUUUGAAUGGAUGCUGUGUAGCAGGUGCAGACUGUUAUCUCUGCUGUUACCUGGGCACCAGAUGGAAAGGAAUCAUGGAGCUUAGUAUUCACUGAAGGGUGCAGUGUGUUACAUUUGUGGAAGCCAGCAUGAGGAAUUAUUUUUCUCCCUGUACACAUUUUCCUACCUCAGAUAAUUCGGAGAGUUUUCCAGCUGAGGAACACAGAGCAUUCCCCAUGACCAAAUAUGCACCACCACUCCUGCUGUGCUGCUGUCCAACAAACAACCACUCAGGCUACUCAGUGAACAGCUCCAGUGCAUGGCUCCACGUGCCUCAGUUAGAAAUAAUCUCUGAAUGAUUCAUGAACUGGCAAGAAUCUCAACUCUGUGGCUUUUCAGUCCUCCCAGUUAAUUAAUCUGUCUACAACCUGGAGUGAUUCAUCUAUCCAGUAGAAACACAUACGACAAUACUUAAAAAAUCAGUGCACCAUUUAUAAUCCUCAUUUCCUUCCAACAACUCUUAAAAUUACUAAGAAACACGUGACAUCUUUAAGUUUGGAAAGCAGCUUCAGGAAUAGGAAUUCAGAAGACAAAAUGAAGAGAGGACAGCAUCUUGUAACAGUAUUGUACCUGCUUCUACAAAAGUUGGGAUUGAAUGUUUUCAGAAAAAGAAGCACUUUCUGUACUGCUUAUUUUCACUGAAGAUUUUUUUGGGAGUUGAAAAAAGAGAAAUAUUUUGGAUAAAAUCUUAGUUCUCUAUGCUACAUUAAAAUCAGAGCACGAAAAUCAGUUGUGUUUGAAAAAUUACACUGACAUUUAAGUGGUUUUUUAAAUGGGUUGGAGCAACUGUUCAGUUGUGAAGCAACCUUUACUCUCCCCCAUCAUUUAGGGUACUGAAUUUCAUGUGCCAUGGAAACCUGCAAAAAUAAUGCAGGAGGGCUGUAAUCUUUGGCACUAGUUUGGUUAUACUGGCAGUCUGUUUGGUUAAACUUUGGUGAAAACAUCUGAUUUUGAAUAUUCAGCAUUGCUGCUUACCAUAUGAUGUAAACAUCCAAUUUUUCAGCCAUGGACCAGGGUCUAAAGAGAGAAUUUAUCCAAUUACCUAACGUGUUUACUGGCUCUGUUAGAUCAGGAUCUGCGAAUCAGGUUGUGAAUUCCUAUUUUCUAUCAAUGGCAAUAAAGAUUCAUGGGGAUAGAAUCA
rnacentral:lncRNA from 1 species